rnacentral:lncRNA from 1 species
GGCGCCCCGGACCUGAGUGCGUCCCCAUGAAGGCGCCCGGGCUGGCCCAGGCGGCCGUGGCAGAGGAGACCCCGGACUGGGCGCCCGAGCUCUGCCCCAGCUCCGAGGCGCGGUCGCCGGAGCCGCCUGCCAACCGCCUUCAAGACUUCGACACGCUGGUCACCGUGGGAAAGCAACUAGAAGCCAUUUGUGUCAAGGUAACGUCUGGAGAAACAAAAGGUCAGGAAUGGCCAACGUCCCUACUGGCCACAGUCCAGCCCCAAUCUGCAAGACAGAGCCAGCCGCCCCGGGGGAAUUCCCGCCUGGUGGGACUCCACGUCACCAGCCCCCAGCUGCUCAGGGUACAGCCCCUCGUGAGAACCGAGCCACAGUCAUGUUUCCUACAUCAGCCUCCUGCUCAGGGGUUUGUACAGAGACCACUGCCAGCCCUCUAGGUGGUCCCUGCAAAGAGAGUCCCAGCCCCCAAGGCUCCAAAUGGACAGGGCACCAUGUUGACCCCUUCGUCGGCCUCCAGUUUGCCGACUGUAACAUGUUUCAUCCAGUUCAGGACGUUUAUUUAUUUCCAACUUGCAUACAAAACAUACUGAGAAACUAAAACCAUCGUUAAAAGUGAAGACACGUUGAGACAGGUAUCUCGACCUGCCAAGUAUAAAGCUAAAGCUGAGUUCAUAAAAAGGGAUGAUUUGGCCGACGGUCAUCUGCCAGAUUCUGAUGAUGAUUCAGAAGUCAGUGUGGAAGAAGAUCAGAGGGAGAGGCAGGCGCUCUUUGACUUAUCAAGCUGCUCCCUGAGGCCCAAAAGCUUCAAGUGUCAGACUUGUAAAAAGUCAUAUAUAGGGAAGUGGGGACUGGCCCAGCAUUUUAAACUUAAUCCAGGCCAUGGCCAGCUGGACCCUGAGAUGGUGCUAUCUGAGAAAGCCAAUGGGAGCACCCUCCGGGGGUGCACAGAGGAAAGGACGCUCAGCCUGACCUUCCCGGGGCUGUCCGUGCCAGCGGCUCCGCGUGAGGGAGGGGCCCGCUCCUGCUUGGUGAGAGAGUCAGCACGCGGUGGCCUGCAGGUGAACUGUCACCCCUACAACUCAGCUUGCAACCAGCCCUGGCCACCAGUUUCCCCACACUGAGCUGAAUAUCGGACAUGCCCAUCUCAGACAUUCCAGCCCAUUCUGAAAUUCCACAUCGAUUCACCUGACAAAGUCUGAAGUUCCAGGGCAAUUUAUCUGGAAAAGCUUACCUGGAAUCACGUGUCAUUUCAACCAACAACUGUUGAAGAGGACGUGGCAUUAAAACCAAGGGUAUCAAUUAUUUAUAA